GAGUUUGAUCCCUGGCUCAGAUUGAACGCUGGCGGCAGGCCUAACACAUGCAAGUCGAGCGGUAGAGAGAAGCUUGCUUCUUCUUGAGAGCGGCGGACGGGUGAGUAAUGCCUAGGAAUCUGCCUAGUGGUGGGGGAUAACGUUCGGAAACGGACGCUAAUACCGCAUACGUCCUACGGGAGAAAGCGGGGGACCUUCGGGCCUCGCGCCAUUAGAUGAGCCUAGGUCGGAUUAGCUAGUUGGUGAGGUAAAGGCUCACCAAGGCGACGAUCCGUAACUGGUCUGAGAGGAUGAUCAGUCACACUGGAACUGAGACACGGUCCAGACUCCUACGGGAGGCAGCAGUGGGGAAUAUUGGACAAUGGGCGAAAGCCUGAUCCAGCCAUGCCGCGUGUGUGAAGAAGGUCUUCGGAUUGUAAAGCACUUUAAGUUGGGAGGAAGGGAGUAACUUAAUACGUGCUACUUGCGUACCGCAG
rnacentral:rRNA from 1 species